CUCUUGAGGUCAUGGCCUACUUAGAGGAUACCUUAGCAAAUCGGUACAAACAUUGGAAGAACUAUCUUCACACGCAUUUUAAGCGAUGGGAUGAUCCGGAGUUUGCUCGCCUACAUGGUUGCCCAACCGAAUUGCAGGACCGGCCGGAGGAUUGGGAGUGGCUCUGCAAACAUUUUACGGACCCAAAAUUUGUAAAGAAAUCUAUUGCUGGCAAGAUAGCUCGGGACUCAAAGACACUUCUCCACCAUUCUGGUUCGAAGCCCUUUUCGUAUAGGCUUGAGGCACGACGUCAGGAGGGUUCUAAGUUCCCAUAGAUCGACAUGUUCGAGGACGUUUACGUUCGACCUGGUGAUGAGCUAGCUAAGCAGCUUCAUGAUGCUAUGGUGGAACAGCGCACUACUGUUCUCCAAGAAGCAACAUCACAACUUCCCCCGGAGACCUCGAUCGAGGACGCCACGAUACCCGAGG